GACGACGCUGGCGGCGUGCUUAACACAUGCAAGUCGAACGGGAGUAUUGAAGAAGCUUGCUUUAGAGAUACUUUAGUGGCGGACGGGUGAGUAACGCGUGAGGAGCUGUCCGAUGCAGGGGGACAACAGUUGGAAACGACUGCUAAUACCCCAUAAGCCGAGAGGUAAAAGGAUUUAUCCGGCAAUGGAGGUACUCGCGUCCUAUCAGCUAGUAGGUGAGGUAACGGCUCACCUAGGCGAAGACGGGUAGCCGGCCUGAGAGGGCGAACGGCCACACUGGAACUGAGAUACGGUCCAGACUCCUACGGGAGGCAGCAGUGGGGAAUAUUGGGCAAUGGGGGGAACCCUGACCCAGCGACGCCGCGUGGGUGAAGAAAUCCUUCGGGAUGUAAAGCCCUGUUGUAUGGGAAGAGCGGAAGACGGUACCAUACGAGGAAGCCCCGGCAAACUACGUG
rnacentral:rRNA from 1 species